rnacentral:tRNA from 1 species
GGGGUUGUGGCUCAGUGGUAGAGCGCUUGCCUAGCAUGUGUGAGGCACUGGGUUCAAUUCCCAGCACCACA